GGGCCCGCACAAGCGGAGGAACAUGUGGUUUAAUUCGAUGAUACGCGAGGAACCUUACCCGGGCUUGAAUUGCUGAGCGCGGCAUUUGGAGACAGAUGCUUCCCUUCGGGGGUUCAGUGAAGGUGCUGCAUGGUUGUCGUCAGCUCGUGCCGUGAGGUGUAGGCUUAAGUGCCAUAACGAGCGCAACCCUUGCCGUUAGUUGCCAUCGGGUUAUGCCGGGCACUCUAUCGGGACUGCCAUCGCAAGAUGUGAGGAAGGUGGGGAUGACGUCAAAUCAGCACGGCCCUUAUGUCCGGGGCGACACACGUGUUACAAUGGGAGGGUACAGAGGGUUGCCACCUGGCGACAGGGCGCGGAUCCCUAAAACCUCUCUCAGUUCGGAUCGGAGUCUGCAACUCGACUCCGUGAAGCUGGAUUCGCUAGUAAUCGCGCAUCAGCCAUGGCGCGGUGAAUACGUUCCCGGGCCUU
rnacentral:rRNA from 1 species